rnacentral:lncRNA from 1 species
CCCCGAAGUGUUUCAAGACUUGAUUAAAUCACUCAGGUCUGCACUAGGAAGCGAGUUAUGAUGAUGCCCCUAAUCUAUAUGAACCCAAAUAAAGCCAAAACACACACACCUUUUAAGGAUAAAACUAUAUUCCAUUAAAAUUAGCCCCGCAUUUGUCAAUAUCUAACAGCAUUGGACUGACCCUCAGGCCAGAGGCUGUAGCUCUUGGAAGAUCCUAGCCAGGAGGUUUGAGAGUGGCCAGUACCUCGGAAGUGCUGGCUCACUCUGACAUCAUCAGAACCUGGCAUACAGUAGGCGCUCAUUGGGUAUUUGCUAUGGAAAUUAGGCAGGAAAGUGCGUCUGUGUCUGGAAACAAAGAGGCAAAGCUUAAGCAGUGAUCCCCAUGCAGAUUCUUUCUGCAAACUACAAAACAGAAGCUUCCCUAGUUCAGACUGCCAUCCAUCUGGCUCUUUCUCCAAUUGUUUUUCAGCGGAUCCUGUUACAGUGCAAAGAAGAAAUGGCAAACGGAUAACAGCUACUGUGCCUAGAAGAUGGUUCUGCCCUGAUGUUUCCUGGAAUAAUGCUGAGGACUGCCUUUCGGGUAGCCGCCCUAUUCAGUUCACUUCAUCUCGGAAAUACCUGACCCCUGCCUUGGAUCCAGCGGCCCUCCUGAGAGCUGAGGAAGGAGGAAAUCCUAUGUGUCUGCUCCCGGAGCUGCCACAACCCAUCUUCCCACAACUCGGAACUUGGAAAAAGGAACCCAGGACACGACUUUGCUUUUCUUUUGGACCUAGUUGGUGAUUAUACUCUGUCUCCCAUGGAGACCACGUCUUGCAUCCUUCCUUCUAUAUGGGAUUUAGGAUAGAAAUUAAAAAGAAAACAUAUUAUUUUGAGUCUUGAUUUGGAGAAAGGUAGUAUUCAGGAGGAAGUAGGCUAUGAUACACAUAGAAAAUUUGAGGACAGUGUUACUUAACAAGGACAUUUCUGUCUCUGCAGAAGUCACAGCUUGGAGGAAACCAGUUUGCACUAUUUGAUGAGGAAUUUGGCCACCAAACCACUGAUACUUUCCCAAAGGUUUGGCAGAAAUUGUUUUUUGAGUGGCUCACCAGAGUACCCAGAAGAAUCAGUAUGGAAUUAGAGGACAGUGGCCUACCCUAAAUAAAGACA